GACAGAGGAUGCAAGCGUUAUCCGGAAUGAUUGGGCGUAAAGGGUGUGUAGGUGGCGCCGUAAGUCGGGUGUGAAAUUUCGGAGCUUAACUCCGAAACUGCAUUCGAUACUGCGGUGCUUGAGGACUGGAGAGGAGACUGGAAUUCAUGGUGUAGCAGUGAAAUGCGUAGAGAUCAUGAGGAAGACCAGUGGCGAAGGCGGGUCUCUGGACAGUUCCUGACACUGAGACACGAAGGCCAGGGGAGCAAACGGG
rnacentral:rRNA from 1 species